rnacentral:rRNA from 1 species
GACGAACGCUGGCGGCGUGCUUAACACAUGCAAGUCGAACGAGUGGCGGACGGGUGAGUAACGCGUAGUCACCGGCCCUUCGAGGGGGACAACAGUUGAAAACGACUGCUAAUACCGCAUACUGAAGGACAGAUGGCGUUGGAUUAGCUAGUUGGAGGGGUAACGGCCCACCAAGGCGAUGAGCAGUAGCUGGGCUGAGAGGAUGACCAGCCACACUGGAACUGAGACACGGUCCAGACUCCUACGGGAGGCAGCAGUGGGGAAUAUUGCACAAUGGGCGCAAGCCUGAUGCAGCCAUGCCGCGUGUGUGAAGAAGGCCUUCGGGUUGUAAAGCACUUUCAGCGAGGAGGCGUUACUCGCAGAAGAAGCACCGGCUAACUCCGUGCCAGCAGCCGCGGUAAUAC